GAAGCGUGGCAUAUAAAUAUGAGUCAUCAUGCCCUGAAUAGGGAUGACGGCGCCUAUUUGCCAGAAGAAUAUAUGCAUCUUCUUGGCAGGUGACGUCAUCCCUUGGGUAUUUAAGAAGCCACGAUCGCAGUUUUAGAUCACCCCUGAUGAAGACACUAGACUGGAGUGUCGAAACGUUGGGUCUUGAUUGCAAUUCGACUGGGCUUUGUAAUCAUUUAUUUAAACCAGAGUAGCGAGCGAAACAUGAUUGAUAUACCUGGUUGCAGUGAACGAACAAACUUUAUACCCCCCCGGUCGUUGCUUUCAUGCUUGAGAGUUUUUUUAAAGGCGUUCAAAGACGUCCUUGACACGACGUUAACACGAAAACUGAUAGGGUACAGCCAAAAUUAUGUGCGUGACUAAGCGAGGUACACCCACGCAUAAAUGUAGUUUCCUUGAAAGCCCUCUUGUCACCACAGGCACUCUUUCUUUUCUCCAAUAUAACAUCUUACGCAACUUGUGGCAAGUUUUAGUUUUGUGUAUGUAUAUUUGAGGAUGGUAUUUUUCUUUGCCAGAUUAUAGAGUAUAUAUAUGGUGUUCGUCAGUAAUUAAGUCACAGAAUAGCCAAUUAAUAGGGAUGCAUAUAUACAAAGGCUAACAGGCCAACAGGUUGGUUCAACAUCAUUCAUCCGAUUGUUUUUGAACUGUUAACUGAUGUUGGAUCGCGUUUGACUUUGUUUAAAAUUUUCAUCCAACGUUGUGCACGUUGGACAAUUUUAGACUCGUUUCAACGGCACAAGGAUAGACUUUAUUUCCAAGUCGGCCGUCAAAAUUGAGUAUUGCAAAAUUGAGUAUUGCAAAAUUGAGCGGCUGAGUGCUGAGAACCACAGCCAACACUCAACAGAGUACAAGUUUCUUUGAUAUUGAAGGUAUUCCAGGAUUUGUAAAACAAUUCUGUAAACAGACUUUAGUGUUUACUUUAUUAAAAUGAAUCAAUUAUUUGUAUAAUGAUUCACCUCAAAAGUUCUAGAAGACAUCAUUAAUUACUGAAAAUACAAGCAGCGAUUCUUCAAAACUUGGCAUUCUGUGUUGCGUGGGCCAAUACAAUGACGUGUGACCAACAUUACAAUGUACGCAAAAU